CCGGAAAAUAUUUCACCCGAAAAAUUAUUGUUCCCCCGGAAUUUUUAAAGCUAUUGUGAGUUCCACCCGAAUGAAUUUUCACUUCGAAUUAGAGGUGACAUUUCGAAAAAAAAACGUUCAUUGAAAAGGCAAAUACAAGCUGAACGAAAUAUCUGAACAAAUCCCAGAAAAAAUUACAAUAGGACGGUGUUCUAGUUUUGCAAAUAAAUUAUUAUUUUCAACCCCUUUUGGAAUGAAAAUGACAAUUUGUUGAGUUAAAAACUUUAUUAAAUAUGUUUUGUAUGUUAGAAGUAAUUUUUCAAGAAAAAAAAACAAACGACGGUAUCCAUAACCAAAACAAAAAAAACCGGAACAAUUCAGAACUACAUCACUUCGAACACGGCUAAACAGAUUUUUGACAGAUGAGUGAAGUGUGAAUUAAAAUUUUUAAAAAAGUAAACAAUAUCCGUGCAUUCCGUGAUUCCGUCUUUAAUUCAUAAAAAUAAAUAUACUUGAAAAUAAGUAAAUAAAACAAAUAAAAAUUGUUUUUUGUGAUUCUGCCGUAGCCUUUAUUUGCUCUCAUCAAAAGAAUUGUUUUUAUAUUUUACUUUAGCAACAUGUAUAGCAUAGCCCUGAGGGAAAUGAUUAAUGAUGAGGAAGAAAAACAAAAACAAAAAUCAAUCAGAAGACAACUCAGAGAUUCUUCAAACCCUUUGGAGUUGCGUGAGCCAUUAUUUCAUCAACACUAUCGAGUAAAUAAAGAAGCCUUCAAAUAUUUGUUGGAUGUUCUUUCCAGUUCCUUGCCCCCAGUAAAACAAAAAUUUGGUGUGCCCCCAAUUAUAAAACUUGCAGCCACCUUACGUUUCCUUGCGGAGGGCGGGUACCAAAAGGGAGUUGGGAAGGACCAUGAAGUUGGGUUGGCACAACCAUCUGUAAACCUUAUUAUGGCUGAAGUGUUGAACGUGUUGGAGGAGAGGCUUUGUCCAGAAUGGAUAAAGUGGCCAACACAAAACGAAUGUAGAAGAAUCAGCCAAGAUUUCUUCAUGAAAUUCAAUAUGCCAAGCAUAAUAGGAUGUGUAGAUGGAACACAUGUCAACAUUAUAUCGCCAUCACACAACAAACACCUUUUUUUAUAACAGGAAAGGCAAAUUCAGUUUGAAUGUUUUACUCAUUUGUGAUAAUAAGUUGCGAAUACGCUACGUUGAUGCAACACAUGCUGGAGCAUGUCACGAUUCUUUUGUUUGGAACGUGAGCAUGAUAAAAUCCAAACUGCGAUAUCGGGG